CCACUACUACUAACCAGUCAACAACCACUACUACUAACCAGCCAACAACCACUACUACUAACCAGCCAACAACCACUUCAUUGACUACAACUACGAAAGAUCCCUCUUUUGACAAAACCAAAGAAGGUCCAAUUGGCGUUGCAACCGUCUCUACCACUAUAGGCAGUGGGACUAAAAACGAUAGUGCACGCAGUACACCCAGUGCUACAUCUACGUCAUCUUCAGUGAUAACCGAUGGCACAGGAGGAAACAACAGGACCAAUACAACUUUUCCACCAACCACAAGUCACGGUGCCAGUACUUCACCUGGGAGGGUGGACCCAGCAAAAACCAGUAAGAGAUCAACCAUCUCCCCAUCUGGUGGUUCUACUAAACGUCCCCUGAAGCCUUCCACCAGGCCUCAGUCAAGCACCACAACUAAAUCUAGCACAACUGCCAACGUUGCUUCCGGGGGUAAUGGUGGUGGUUUCAGAGACUGGGUACCGGGAUGGGCCAUUGCUCUGUUGGUGUUAGCCGCUGUCAUCCUGCUACUCCUCAUUAUCAUCUUUAUCAUGAUGGUGGUGCGUUGGUGCUGUAAAAGGUCAAAAGAUGAAAAGAAGAGCACCCCCAACAUCGGCUCUUUCCACGGAUAUGUCUCCCAUGGCCCCCAAGCCCCCAUACAGGAGCAACCCAAUGGAAAGACCUUUCAGGAUGAGCCCCGAAAGAAGAAUAAAACAGGCAUGUACAUAGUGAACCCCUGAGCAGGAAGAUGUGGAGGUGACAUACCAACAGGCAAACUCUGGUCAACAGAACAAGAGCAGAUAAAGAUGAGCUACAAGCAAAACCAAAUCACAGCCCCUGUAGAUAUGUAUAGUUUGUCAGGAAUUUAGUAUGUUAUAUUUUAAGAAUGAAAAUGAUCGGAAUGAAUGGUUUCAUAAUUUUUUAUUUAUUACACUUUUGUUUGCGCAUAAAUAUUGGGCAACCUUGCUAGUAUUUGUAUUACUCUAUAUGACGUCAUCAUCUUUGACCCUGUUAUCAAGACAACCAGCAUCUUUAUUAUAUUCUGACUUGUCCAUUGGUACAAAAAAAUAUUGGUACAAAUAUCUCAGAUGUUUUGCUUUGCAUCUUGUGUAACUGUUCAGUUGGAUAAUGUUAAAGAUUAUUGUUAAAAAAAUAUAUGUGAAAAUCAGAGUGCAUUCCUUAAUUGGUCAGAUAUUUGAAUAGGGAGUUUACACUAAUAAUUUGAAAUCUUGUAAAAUGGAAAUGAAUCCUAACUUGACUUGAGAUCCCAUUGCUGUCAAUGGAAGAUUUGCAAAAACUCAAGUUACAUGCACAGAUCUAAAGUUAGUUUUGGGAGUUGAGCACUACACAUCAUUAGUGUCCUUGAUUUCUGUGUAUUGAGUUUGUAUCACAUCAUGUUAUAUACAAUUUAAUAGAAGACUUCAUUGAAGUGUCCUCAUUAAAGUGACAGUUCACUCCAACAUCAAAGUUGGUAUUUUUCUACCUUAAAAGUAGUUUAAUGUAGAAAUAACUACUUGCUUCAAGUCAUCUAAUCUGAAGUCAUUCAAAAUGCAUGCAAUCCCAAAUAUCCUUUGAAUUACAUGAAAUUUGGUUUAGGCUUUAUUGAUUUACAGAAAUAGGAUGUGGGCUGGUACAAAGUAGAUUCAUUCAUGAAAAUGCUUUCAACCGUUUACCUCUGUCCAUGUAAUCUACACACCACACCCUUAAAGGAAGGAUAUGCCUUUUAAAUGGCGAUUUCAUAUUUAUUUGAACCCAAUGCGAAUACCAUUAACAUUAUGUAAGCAGACAGGUUGUUUAGCAUGUGUAGUAUAUGAGUAAUGUGUGAAUGACAUGAUGCUCCAAGAAAAUUAUAUAUCUCUCACCAUCCAUCUCACUGUAAGAUGCAGGUGUCAUGGAGUUGGUUGAUGAAGUAAUUUGAAACAUGAACUAUCUUUGCAUGAUGAGUAAACCUGGCUGAGAUCUGUUAAUAACCUGUGCUUAGUAUUUCUUUUUAAUCAUGAUUAAAUAUUCAAUUAAGAUAAAUGCUUUAUUAAACAUUGUAGCAUGUUUUGUUUUGUCUUGCAAUGUA